CAGACAGUCUGAUAGUGUGCUCACUGGCCCGGCUGCAUGGAGUGAGUGAGUGCAGACAGUCUGAGUGUGAGCUCACUGGCCAGGCUGCAUGGAGUGAGUGAGUGCAGACAGUCUGAGUGUGUGCUCACUGGCCAGGCUGCAUGGAGUGAGUGAGUGCAGACAGUCUGAGUGUGUGCUCACUGGCUAGGCUGCAUGGAGUAAGUGAGUGCAGACAGUUUGAGUGUGUGCUCACUAGCCAGGCUGCUCACUGGCCAGGCUGCAUGGAGUGUGUGAGUGCAGACAGUCUGAUAGUGUGCUCACUGGUCAGGCUGCAUGGAGUGAGUGAGUGCAGACAGUCUGAGUGUGUGUGCUCACUGGUCAGGCUGCAUG